rnacentral:rRNA from 1 species
GAGUUUGAUCCUGGCUCAGGAUAAACGCUGGCGGCGUGCCUAAUCAAUGCGAGUCGCACGGGCACCUUCGGGUGUCAGUGGCGUCCGGGUGAGUAACGCGUAGCUAACCUGCCCAGGGGUGGGGGAUACCCGCCAGAAAUGGCGGCUAAUACCGCAUAGCGUGACGAGGGGGUGACCUUCGGCACGAAAGCCGCAAGGCGCCUAUGGAGGGGGCUGCGUCCGAUUAGCUGGUCGGUGGGGUAACGGCCUACCGAGGCGACGAUCGGUAGCUGGUCUGAGAGGAUGGUCAGCCACACUGGGACUGAGACAUGGUCCAGAGCUCUACGGGGUUUAGCAUGAAGGGAUAUUGCGCAAUGGGCGAAAGCCUGACGCAGCAACGCCGCGUGUGGGACGACGCCUCUCGGGGUGUAAACCACUUUUCCCAGGGAAGAAGAAUGUGACGGUACCUGGGGAAGAAGCCUUGGCUAAGUACGUGCCAGCCGCCGCCGU